rnacentral:rRNA from 1 species
UGGCCAGACUCCUACGGGAGGCAGCAGUGAGGAAUAUUGGUCAAUGGGCGAGAGCCUGAACCAGCCAAGUCGCGUGAGGGAAGACGGUCCUAUGGAUUGUAAACCUCUUUUGCCGGGGAGCAAAAAGCGGUACGUGUACCGCAUCGAGAGUACCCGGAGAAAAAGCAUCGGCUAACUCCGUGCCAGCAGCCGCGGUAAUACGGAGGAUGCGAGCGUUAUCCGGAUUUAUUGGGUUUAAAGGGUGCGCAGGCGGCGAGUUAAGUCAGCGGUAAAAUUUCGGGGCUCAACCCCAUCCAGCCGUUGAAACUGGGGAUCUAGAGUGUGCGAGAGGUAUGCGGAAUGCGUGGUGUAGCGGUGAAAUGCAUAGAUAUCACGCAGAACCCCGAUUGCGAAGGCAGCAUACCGGUGCACAACUGACGCUCAGGCACGAAAGCGUGGGUAUCGAACAGGAUUAGAUACCCGCGUAA